AGCAGCCGCGGUAAUUCCAGCUCCAAUAGCGUAUAUUAAAGUUGUUGCAGUUAAAAAGCUCGUAGUUGAAUUUCGGGGUCAGUAGGUUGGUCAUGCCACUGGUAUGUACUGGUCUCACUGAUUCCUCCUUCCUGAUGAACUGUAAUGCCAUUAAUUUGGUGUUGCAGGGAAUCUGGACUGUUACUUUGAAAAAAUUAGAGUGUUUAAAGCAGGCUAACGCCUGAAUACAUUAGCGUGGAAUAAUGAAAUAGGACGUUCGAUCCUAUUUUGUUGGUUUCUAGGAUUGACGUAAUGAUUAAUAGGGAUAGUUGGGGGCAUUAGUAUUCAAUUGUCAGAGGUGAAAUUCUUGGAUUUAUUGAAGACUAACUACUGCGAAAGCAUUUGCCAAGGAUGCUUUCAUUAAUCAAAGA
rnacentral:rRNA from 1 species